GAUGAACGCUGGCGGCGUGCCUAAUACAUGCAAGUCGAGCGAACGGACGAGAAGCUUGCUUCUCUGAUGUUAGCGGCGGGCGGGUGAGUAACACGUGGAUAACCUACCUAUAAGACUGGGAUAACUUCGGGAAACCGGAGCUAAUACCGGAUGAUGUUUUGAACCGCAUGGUUCAAAAGUGAAAGACGGUCUUGCUGUCACUUAUAGAUGGAUCCGCGCUGCAUUAGCUAGUUGGUAAGGUAACGGCUUACCAAGGCAACGAUGCAUAGCCGACCUGAGAGGGUGAUCGGCCACACUGGAACUGAGACACGGUCCAGACUCCUACGGGAGGCAGCAGUAGGGAAUCUUCCGCAAUGGGCGAAAGCCUGACGGAGCAACGCCGCGUGAGUGAUGAAGGUCUUCGGAUCGUAAAACUCUGUUAUUAGGGAAGAACAUAUGUGUAAGUAACUGUGCACAUCUUGACGGUACCUAAUCAGAAAGCCACGGCUAACUACGUGCCAGCAGCCGCGGUAAUACGUAGGUGGCAAGCGUUAUCCGGAAUUAUUGGGCGUAAAGCGCGCGUAGGCGGUUUUUUAAGUCUGAUGUGAAAGCCCACGGCUCAACCGUGGAGGGUCAUUGGAAACUGGAAAACUUGAGUGCAGAAGAGGAAAGUGGAAUUCCAUGUGUAGCGGUGAAAUGCGCAGAGAUAUGGAGGAACACCAGUGGCGAAGGCGACUUUCUGGUCUGUAACUGACGCUGAUGUGCGAAAGCGUGGGGAUCAAACAGGAUUAGAUACCCUGGUAGUCCACGCCGUAAACGAUGAGUGCUAAGUGUUAGGGGGUUUCCGCCCCUUAGUGCUGCAGCUAACGCAUUAAGCACUCCGCCUGGGGAGUACGACCGCAAGGUUGAAACUCAAAGGAAUUGACGGGGACCCGCACAAGCGGUGGAGCAUGUGGUUUAAUUCGAAGCAACGCGAAGAACCUUACCAAAUCUUGACAUCCUUUGACAACUCUAGAGAUAGAGCCUUCCCCUUCGGGGGACAAAGUGACAGGUGGUGCAUGGUUGUCGCCAGCUCGUGUCGUGAGAUGUUGGGUUAAGUCCCGCAACGAGCGCAACCCUUAAGCUUAGUUGCCAUCAUUAAGUUGGGCACUCUAAGUUGACUGCCGGUGACAAACCGGAGGAAGGUGGGGAUGACGUCAAAUCAUCAUGCCCCUUAUGAUUUGGGCUACACACGUGCUACAAUGGACAAUACAAAGGGCAGCGAAACCGCGAGGUCAAGCAAAUCCCAUAAAGUUGUUCUCAGUUCGGAUUGUAGUCUGCAACUCGACUACAUGAAGCUGGAAUCGCUAGUAAUCGUAGAUCAGCAUGCUACGGUGAAUACGUUCCCGGGUCU
rnacentral:rRNA from 1 species